CAUGAUAACUUCUCGAAUCGCACGGCCUUGCGCCGGCGAUGGUUCAUUCAAAUUUCUUCCCUAUCAACUUUCGAUGUUUGGGUAUUGGCCAAACAUGGUUGCAACGGGUAACGGAGGGUUAGGGCUCGACCCCGGAGAAGGAGCCUGAGAAACGGCUACUACAUCCAAGGAAGGCAGCAGGCGCGCAAAUUACCCAAUCCCGACACGGGGAGGUAGUGACAAUAAAUACUGAUACAGGGCUCUUUUGGGUCUUGUAAUUGGAAUGAGUACAAUUUAAAUCCCUUAACGAGGAACAAUUGGAGGGCAAGUCUGGUGCCAGCAGCCGCGGUAAUUCCAGCUCCAAUAGCGUAUAUUAAAGUUGUUGUGGUUAAAAAGCUCGUAGUUGAACCUUGGGCCUGGCUGGCCGGUCCGCCUCACCGCGUGUACUGGUCCGGCCGGGCCUUUCCCUCUGUGGAACCCCAUGCCCUUCACUGGGUGUGGCGGGGAAACAGGACUUUUACUUUGAAAAAAUUAGAGUGCUCCAGGCAGGCCUAUGCUCGAAUACAUUAGCAUGGAAUAAUGAAAUAGGACGUGUGGUUCUAUUUUGUUGGUUUCUAGGACCGCCGUAAUGAUUAAUAGGGACAGUCGGGGGCAUCAGUAUUCAAUUGUCAGAGGUGAAAUUCUUGGAUUUAUUGAAGACUAACUACUGCGAAAGCAUUUGCCAAGGAUGUUUUCAUUAAUCAGGAACGAAAGUUAGGGGAUCGAAGACGAUCAGAUACCGUCGUAGUCUUAACCAUAAACUAUGCCGACUAGGGAUCGGACGAUGUUAUUUUUUGACGCGUUCGGCACCUUACGAGAAAUCAAAGUGCUUGGGCUCCAGGGGGAGUAUGGUCGCAAGGCUGAAACUUAAA
rnacentral:rRNA from 1 species